rnacentral:lncRNA from 1 species
GUAGGGGGUCUCAGUUCAGAGCCCGUCCCAGUCCAUCCUCACCUCCCGUUCCCCCCCAAAGUGGGUGGGGGGUUUCUGAGUUCCCGGUUCACUCUCACUCCUCUCCCCACCCUGAGCACUUGUCCCCAACUCGCCCCCCCGGCCCCAGGGACUGCCCCCCACCCCGGGAAGGGGGUCCCGGCUCCCGGGGGCUCCGUGCCCAUCCCCGGGGGGCUCCAGGCCAGGGGACCCCCCCGGCAGAGCUGGGGGUGCGCGGCGGCUCUGGGGACACGGCACAGGGACAGCCACGGGGGGCGCGGAGCUGCCACCCCCCGCCCCAGCCCCCCCAGUUCUCCCCUCUGCAGCAGGGCUGGGACCCCCAGCCCCGCCGGGACCCCCCUCUUAGCUCGGUGUGUGUGGGGGGCUCCCCCCGUUUGGAACCAAAUAAAGCACCGAAACCAAGCCGGGCCCCGAGUCCUGCGGGGGGGACACGGGCGGGGGAACAGAGCCCCCCCAGCCCGGGGGGCGACAAAGGGGACCCUCCCCGGUCCCUCCCUGCGCCUCUUGCGGUGCCCGGGGAAACUGAGGCACGCGGUGGGGGGGAAAGGGGACAGAGAGAAGGGACGCGGGGACAGACAAGGGGACACGGGGCACCAGCACCACCCCCCCGGCCCCCCCAGAGGCAGCGGGCCCGGCGGGUAUUGCCAGAAACAGUUUAUUUAUACAAGGACGAACAUCGGUGACAUCUUACAAAAUACCGAACCGAGACCCAGAGCGAGCGGGAGCGGGGGCACGGACGGGAGCGGGGGGGACACGGGGACACACGGCGGGCCGGGGGGGGGACACCGGCACAAAGCAAGCCGGGCACGCUGCCGGGGGGCCGGGACCCUCCUCUCCCCCCGCCCCACAAUCCAGAGGAGCUUCCCUGGGAUGGGGAGGGGGAUCCCCCCCACACCCGGGGUGUCCCCAGGGUUGGGGACACCGGCGGGGACCUCGCUGUCAUCCCCCGCUCCUCACCCUAAACCAGGCUCCUCCCUCCCCAGGAGAGGGGACAAGGACAGCCUGAGCCCUCUGUCCUAA